rnacentral:rRNA from 1 species
CCCCGGCCGACGGGGGAGGCCCUAGCACAGGUGCUGCAUGGCCGUCGUCAGCUCGUGCCGUGAGGUGUUGGGUUAAGUCCCGCAACGAGCGCAACCCCCGCCGUUAGUUGCCAGCGGUUCGGCCGGGCACUCUAACGGGACUGCCGCGAAAGCGGGAGGAAGGAGGGGACGACGUCUGGUCAGCAUGGCCCUUACGGCCUGGGCGACACACGUGCUACAAUGCCCACUACAAAGCGAUGCCACCCGGCAACGGGGAGCUAAUCGCAAAAAGGUGGGCCCAGUUCGGAUUGGGGUCUGCAACCCGACCCCAUGAAGCCGGAAUCGCUAGUAAUCGCGGAUCAGCCAUGCCGCGGUGAAUACGUUCCCGGGCCUU